CUGCAGCUGCGGCCAAGGCGAAACCUCUGGUCCCUGUAUUCUCAGUUCCUGGCGAGUAAUUAUUGCCCGAAACCAAUGUUGCCCAAAGGUGAUGAAGAUCCGCCAUUGAAAAGCUGCCAGAAAAUACAACGGCAACAAAGAACGUCGAUUUUUCUUGGUCUUUAUAGUGAGCAACGAACCGAUUAAAACUAUUCGACGGAAUAAUAACGCGUCGUGAAACCGCGCGUAUACGGAAGGCCGAUCGAAGAGAGCCGCAAAAGAGAAUGCAA